UAAGCAUAUCACUAAGCGGAGGAAAAGAAACUAACCAGGAUUCCCCUAGUAAUGGCGAAUGAAGCGGGAAGAGCCCAGCACCGAAUCCAGCAGCCUUGCGCUGCAUGGAACUGUGGUGUUUAGGACGUCUAUUGCUGCGAUGCUCGGGUGCCCAAGUCCUCCUGAUCGGGGCCUCUCCCAGAGCGGGUGUCAGGCCUUUACCGGCACUCGACGUCGUGGCUCUGAACGUCCUUGGAGUCGGGUUGUUUGAGAAUGCAGCCCAAAGCGGGUGGUAAACUCCAUCUAAGGCUAAAUACCGACACGAGU
rnacentral:rRNA from 1 species